CAUUGUUUUCAGAAAGACAGAUUAAUGAUUAAAACGAGAUGAAAAUAAUAUUUUCUUUAUUUGAUCCCUUCAGAUGCAUCCUAACGGUGAGUCACUGACACA